GUAAACUUCGCCAUUUUCAUGAUUUUUUUCUUGCUGAAUAUCAUUGUAAUCGUACGAAAAGGUUUUAAAGGUGCUCAAGAUGUCGCUGAAAAAAGUUUUUAAAAUUGCCGAAGAAGCGGUAGAAUAUCUAUUUUCGGAAGAAUUAUAGUCCGAAAUGAUUGCUUUGCCACCUGAAGUAGAUGAAUUAACAGAUGAAGAAGACACUAAAACUCUAGACCUAUCUGUAAGAGACGUUGUAAAUAGUAUUGGAAUUUCUGUACCUUAUGAAAACUAUGAUGAUCAUAGAGAGAAUGAUUUAUCAAACAAAAGUAAAAAUCGAAGUUGCUCGGAAUCAGGAUCAAAUACACGUAAGAAAGGUAAAAAAGAGUUAAUAGCAGAUUGGAAAAAAGUUCCGCCAAAUUAUAAUUUUUCUGAUAAAAGUAAUGCCUUAAAAAUAAACUAUGAAAAAGCUGUAGGCACUUUAGAAGGUCUAUCGCCCGUAUAAGUUUUUGUAGAAAUUUUGUCUCGGACAUAUUUGGAGCGCAUUUUAAUAGAAACAGAAAAAUAUGCUAAGCAAUGAGAAAAAAAGCAAAUUUUUCCUUAACAACUGAAGAAUAAAAAACAUGUCUCGAUUUUUUGAUUUUAUCUGGAUAUCAUACACUAUCAAGUGAACGUGACUAUUGGUCAGAUGAAGAUUUAAUGGUUCCUAUAGCAAAAAACAGAUACUUAGAAAUAAAAUAUGUGAUUCAUUUUGCUCAUAAUAAUGAAACUAAGUACCGAACAAAUGACAGAGAUUUUAAAAUUCGAAAAUUAAUCACAGAAAUCAACGCAAAUUUUCAGAAAUGGGGAAUUUUUGACAAGCAUCUAUCUAUUGAUGAAAUGAUAAUUCGAUAUUACGGUCAUCAUUACUUCAUGCGUUCAUUAAAGGUAAACCCAUAAGGUUUGGGUAUAAGAUAUGGGCAUUAUGUGGGAACAUUGGCUACUGCUAUAAUUUUGAUUUGUAUUGCGGCAAGGAAGUUGUCGAUGCUGCUUCUACCGUGGUUCUUUCAAAAGAGCCCUUGGGAACUCGAGUUGUAAAAAAAAAAAGCUUCAACCAGUUACUGAUCCCAAUAGUCAUAUAGUUUACUUUGAUAAUUUUUUUAAUUCCUUUAAUUUGUUAGUUGACCUAAGAAAGAGUGGAUUUCGAGCAACAGGAACAAUAAGAAUUGACAGAAAAGAGCAUUGUCCCCUUGAAAUUGAUUCUACUUUCAAAAAGACUAGCCGCGGUUCACAUGAUUUCUACUUUGACGUGAAAAAUAAAAUUACUGCGGUAAAAUGGAAUGAUAACAAAUGCGUUACACUUGCGACAAAUUUUGACAUAAUAGGGCCACUAACAUCUGUUUCAAGGCGCGAGAAAGGAAAAGCUGAACAAAAUAAAAUCGAGCAGCCAUGUCUCGUAAACAAUUAUAACAAAAACAGAUUUAAUCAUGUAGAACAACAAAACAGAGCCAAUCAUGUAGAUUCUCAUGAUUGGCUCUUAGAGAAACAUACCAUAAGAAUCCGUGGAAAAAAAUGGUAUUGAAAAAUGUUUACCCGAAUUUUAGACAUGGCUGGUGUAAAUACCUGCACAACACAGUAAAUGCAGAAAAAAAGAGUAUCAAAGAAAUAAGGAGACGUACUGCAAUAGCCUAUCUAAGAAAAGGCAACACUGGAAAAACCAAGUUACAUAAUUUCAUCUCGAGUGAAGGUAAUAGACACUGUUAGACGUUGGCCAUAAUAUCGAUAAAAAAGAAAAACGAUGUCAAAUGCAUAAUUGUUCGGAAAAAUCAUUUUGCAUGAAAUGGGAUUCUUUCCAAAUUACCAUAAAUAGUGUGAAUAAUGUUUAAACUUAAUAAAAAAUGUCAAAUUUAAA
rnacentral:lncRNA from 1 species